rnacentral:lncRNA from 1 species
UUUUUUUUUUUUUUAGUAGAGAUGGGGUUUCACCAUGUUGGCCAGGCUGGUCUUGAGCUCCUGACCUCAAAUGAUCCACCCACCUUGGCCUCCCAAAGUGCUGGGAUUACAGGUGCCUGGCCAAGUAAAUGUUUCUUACCAGAUUUAAAGAAUCUGUUCUAUCAGUAAUUCCAAAAGAAAGGAGGGUAUAAUGAGGCACGUCCCGCUCCCCCAUCCCAUCCUGGCCCGAACUAGUUUUUCAGGUAAACUUGGGAAUGUCCAUGCCAAGAGGAGGGGUCCAUUCGGAUGGUUGGGAAGCUUAGAAUUUUACUUUUGGCUUACAAACAUGAGACGGUUGCUGUAGACUGUGGGCGGUGAGCAUGUCAGGACUUUCCCUCCUCCUAUCCGGUGACACCUUGGCCCACACCAACCCAGAGCAACAAGACCCACUGCCCCUGCUACCUGGGGCCCGCACGUCAUGUCUGAGCAAUGAGCCCAUCCUCGCUGCCUGCUGCCCAGCUGGCGGACCCUGCCCCGUGCUGUUCCUACUACUGCUAUGGCCACUCCCCAGCCACCACACCCACAGCAACUCCAUGCCAGUAGCUCCUCCCCACCCAAGGCUUCUCCCUGCCCACAGCUCCUCCCUACCUGUGACUCCUCCUCUCCAGCAGUUCCUCCCUGUGACCCCUGCACUUGGAGCUUUCCCUCCACUCCCCCGUACCUGCCUCAGGCCUCAGUCUGCUUCCUUUCCUUUCCCUAAGCUCACUUGGAGUCCUAGCUCGCCCAUGGCACCCACACUUCCAAGACUCCAGCACUUGGGAGGUUCCUGCCACUACCAUCACCGUCACUGCUGCUACUGAAACACCAGGGGUUGAGUCUAGAUCCUGCUGUUCGCUGCUCAGAAAGCCAAUGUCUGAGACAAGCAUUGCCAAGAAAGAAAGCUUUAAUUGGGUGCUGCAGCCAAGGAGAUGGGAGAUCCAUCUCAAAAUAUCUCCUCGACUGACUAAAACUAAGGGUUUACAUAGCAGGGAAAAAUGGACUAUGUAUGGGAAACAGGAACUCGGGAGGGAUAAAGAAGCAAUCAUGAUGAACCAGAGGUUUGGUGUCUGAUUGUUUGCAUACAGCAGUCUGAUCAGUUUCAGUCCUUUGAUACCUUCUGAGAGGCCUAGGGGUCCUUUCUUGAGGAAGGAAUUCAGAUAAAACAAAUACAAGUUUCAAGAUUUAUGAUCAGAGGGUCAAUUUCCAUGUUUACACAAAAAAUAAAAACAAAAAUAAAACAAAUACGAAAACAAACAAACAAAAAAACCUGUCUGUGGGACUCUUGGUCGGUUUCAGUCCCACUUUUCUACUGAUCAAUUCCUCAACCCUGGGGAAUCUGGCUGUCGAUCUUUCUGGCUGCUUCAUGCUGAGGAGCGGCAUUGUGGGCAGCUCCAUACCAGGGGUGACCAUGUGGCCACCCAGAAAUCAAAGGUUAACUUAAUACAGGGUUUUCUUCUGAAACACAAUCUUUCUCUCUCCAGGCCUCACUUCCACCAAAGACAAGUAACAGCAGGAACAACCUACAGGCAAAAGAAACUUCAGUCCCGUACAGGUGGCCUGGUUACCCACACAAAGCACAGCAAGAAUCCUUGUGCACAUAGGCUCUCCUAGAUUGGACUGACUGGAACCUCUC